rnacentral:rRNA from 1 species
AUAGCUUUCCCUCCAGAGUGGAUCCUGAGUACGGCGGAACACGUGAAAUUCCGUCGGAAUCCGGGAGGACCAUCUCCCAAGGCUAAAUACUCCCUAGUGACCGAUAGUGAACCAGUACCGUGAGGGAAAGGUGAAAAGCACCCCGGAAGGGGAGUGAAACAGUUCCUGAAACCGUGUGCCUACAAGUAGUUAGAGCCCGUUAAUGGGUGAUAGCGUGCCUUUUGUAGAAUGAACCGGCGAGUUACGAUUUGUUGCAAGGUUAAGCGGAAAAAGCGGAGCCGUAGCGAAAGCGAGUCUGAAUAGGGCGCAUAAGUAACAGGUCGUAGACCCGAAACCAGGUGAUCUACCCAUGUCCAGGAUGAAGGUAAGGUAAUACUUACUGGAGGUCCGAACCCACGCACGUUGAAAAGUGCGGGGAUGAGGUGUGGGUAGCGGAGAAAUUCCAAUCGAACUUGGAGAUAGCUGGUUCUCUCCGAAAUAGCUUUAGGGCUAGCCUCGAGGUAAAGAGUCAUGGAGGUAGAGCACUGUUUGGACUAGGGGCCCUUCUCGGGUUACCGAAUUCAGAUAAACUCCGAAUGCCAUGUACUUAUACUCGGGAGUCAGACUGCGAGUGAUAAGAUCCGUAGUCGAAAGGGAAACAGCCCAGACCACCAGUUAAGGUCCCCAAAUAUAUGUUAAGUGGAAAAGGAUGUGGGGUUGCUUAGACAACCAGGAUGUUGGCUUAGAAGCAGCCACCAUUGAAAGAGUGCGUAAUAGCUCACUGGUCGAGUGACCCCGCGCCGAAAAUGUACCGGGGCUAAACAUAUUACCGAAACUGUGGAUGAACCUCUUUAGAGGUUCGUGGUAGGAGAGCGUUCUAAGGGCGGUGAAGUCAGACCGGAAGGACUGGUGGAGCGCUUAGAAGUGAGAAUGCCGGUAUGAGUAGCGAAAGAAGGGUGAGAAUCCCUUCCACCGAAUAUCUAAGGUUUCCUGAGGAAGGCUCGUCCGCUCAGGGUUAGUCGGGACCUAAGCCGAGGCCGAUAGGCGUAGGCGAUGGACAACAGGUAGAGAUUCCUGUACCAGUGCUAAUUGUUUAACCGAUGGGGUGACACAGAAGGAUAGGGAAUCGCACGAAUGGAAAUGUGCGUCCAAGCAGUGAGUGUGAGAAGUAGGCAAAUCCGCUUCUCGCGAAGCAUGAGCUGUGAUGGGGAAGGAAAUUAAGUACGGAAGUUCCUGAUUUCACGCUGUCAAGAAAAGCCUCUAGGAAGAGUAGUACUGCCCGUACCGCAAACCGACACAGGUAGAUGAGGAGAGAAUCCUAAGGUGAGCGAGAGAACUCUCGUUAAGGAACUCGGCAAAAUGACCCCGUAACUUCGGGAGAAGGGGUGCUCUAUUAGGGUGCAAGCCCGAGAGAGCCGCAGUGAAUAGGCCCAGGCGACUGUUUAGCAAAAACACAGGUCUCUGCAAAACCGUAAGGUGACGUAUAGGGGCUGACGCCUGCCCGGUGCUGGAAGGUUAAGAGGAGUGCUUAGCUUCGGCGAAGGUACGAAUUGAAGCCCCAGUAAACGGCGGCCGUAACUAUAACGGUCCUAAGGUAGCGAAAUUCCUUGUCGGGUAAGUUCCGACCCGCACGAAAGGCGCAACGAUCUGGGCACUGUCUCAACGAGAGACUCGGUGAAAUUAUAGUACCUGUGAAGAUGCAGGUUACCCGCGACAGGACGGAAAGACCCCGUGGAGCUUUACUGCAACCUGAUAUGGAAUGUUUGUACCGCUUGUACAGGAUAGGUAGGAGCCGAAGAGACGUGUGCGCUAGCAUACGAGGAGGCAAUGGUGGGAUACUACCCUGGCUGUAUGACCAUUCUAACCCGCCACGCUUAGCGCGUGGGGAGACAGUGUCAGGUGGGCAGUUUGACUGGGGCGGUCGCCUCCUAAAGAGUAACGGAGGCGCCCAAAGGUUCCCUCAGAAUGGAUGGAAAUCAUUCGCAGAGUGUAAAGGCACAAGGGAGCUUGACUGCGAGACUGACAAGUCGAGCAGGGACGAAAGUCGGGCUUAGUGAUCCGGUGGUUCCGCAUGGAAGGGCCAUCGCUCAACGGAUAAAAGCUACCCCGGGGAUAACAGGCUUAUCUCCCCCAAGAGUCCACAUCGACGGGGAGGUUUGGCACCUCGAUGUCGGCUCGUCGCAUCCUGGGGCUGUAGUCGGUCCCAAGGGUUGGGCUGUUCGCCCAUUAAAGCGGCACGCGAGCUGGGUUCAGAACGUCGUGAGACAGUUCGGUCCCUAUCCGUCGCGGGCGCAGGAAAUUUGAGAGGAGCUGUCCUUAGUACGAGAGGACCGGGAUGGACACACCGCUGGUGUACCAGUUGUUCCGCCAGGAGCAUCGCUGGGUAGCUAUGUGUGGCAGGGAUAAACGCUGAAAGCAUCUAAGCGUGAAGCCCCCCUCAAGAUGAGAUUUCCCAUUUCUUCGGAAAGUAAGAUCCCUGAAAGAUGAUCAGGUAGAUAGGUUUGGAGUGGAAGUGUAGCGAUACAUGGAGCGGACAAAUACUAAUCGAUCGAGGACUUAACCAAAA